rnacentral:rRNA from 1 species
GUCCACGCCGUAAACGAUGAUGACUAGCUGUCGGGGCGCUUAGCGUUCCGGUGGCGCAGCUAACGCGUUAAGUCAUCCGCCUGGGGAGUACGGCCGCAAGGUUAAAACUCAAAGAAAUUGACGGGGCCUGCACAAGCGGUGGAGCAUGUGGUUUAAUUCGAAGCAACGCGCAGAACCUUACCAGCGUUUGACAUGCCAGGACGGUUUUCCAGAGAUGGAUUCCUUCCCUUACGGGACCUGGACACAGGUGCUGCAUGGCUGUCGU